rnacentral:rRNA from 1 species
CCUACGGGAGGCAGCAGUGGGGAAUAUUAGGCAAUGGGCGCAAGCCUGACCCAGCAACGCCGCGUGAGGGAAGAAGGUCUUCGGAUUGUAAACCUCUGUCCUUGGGGACGAAAAAAAUGACGGUACCCAAGGAGGAAGCUCCGGCUAACUACGUGCCAGCAGCCGCGGUAAU